rnacentral:lncRNA from 1 species
GACUGUGGCCUGCUCACCUGCUAGUUGGCAUCUCUUAUAGGUCUGUCUGUCUACCUAUCUUGGGAUUGGAAGCACUUUUCUCUCUGCAAACUCCACUCCCCCCCCCCAAAUCCUUGUUUUUUUAAAGUUUUGAAAAAUAGGCACUCAUAGUUUUCUUCCUGGAGUUUCCUUUGGCUGCAACUGUUUUAGCCAAGACGGAAGCUCACUAUCCUUCUCAUACCCCCACCCUACUAUUACUUUAAAAUAAUUUGCAUCUCUGUGGGUUUUUUUUUUUUUUUUUUUUUGCUUUGUUUUUGUUUGUUUUCGGCUGCUUCUCCUCCCUCUAGGAGCUAAGACUUCUUUUCAGGCUCCACCUGGGCCUGGGGUUGGGGUUGACUUCAUAGUCUUCACUUUCUUUUUUUGACCUAACUUGAAAGAUGUCCGACUGCCUCUCCCUAGGGACUCUAUCUAGGCGAUGGAUUCCUUAAAAGAAGGGAGAAACUCUGGCUUUUACUGUGAGAGCCUGGAUAAUGUCCAAAGGCACAUGGCCUCUGGAAACUUAAAAUAAAAAGCUCAACAGCGAUUUCCAAAGACAGGGAAAAGGCUCAACCUGCAAGAUUAGGUCGACGUCUUUCAUAAUUAUUUUCUAUUAAAAACUUUCCCGGAAAUGUGUUCAUGACACCAGCCGGAGCCUCUUUUCUCUAGGGGUACUGGCCAGCUCUAGUAUUGUUAUGCUCCGCAAGGAUAAUUUCCUUCUGUGGCCUUUAGAAAAUAAUGGACGACUCGACUUUCUUGUUUUGACUAAACGAAACCUCUCUUGGAGAGACUGGAGUACGCAGAUCGAACCUAGAAAUUGUACUCUCCUCAAGAUCCGCUUGAGAGAAUCUGACUGAUGGCUUUGGUCUGAGAGUUCAGACAUCUCUUGUGAUACUAAGAAAGAUUCCUUUUCCAUUUGCUGGAUCCUCCUGUUUUGUCAUCCCUGAGUCCUGUAAGAAGCUCAUCAGGAGGUCCCCUGCGCUGGAAGGACCAUGUGAGUUCAUCCCAGACGAUGGGUGGCACCAUGGUUUUAGCAGCUCACACAAUGGAGAACCACAUUCUCUCUGGAAGAGCUUGGCAACAUGUAUUUGGUAAACACAGCAAGGUCAGCUUGAGCUCUAUUCUUCUGUGGCCGUUCUGAACACGAGAGAGAGAGAGAGAGAGAGAGACAGAGACAGAGACAGAGACAGAGACAGAGACAGAGACAGAGAUAUAGACAGGGAGAGGCAGAGAGAGACAGAAACAGAGAAAUGAUUCCUGAAUUAUUUUUUUAAAAUUAAUUUUAAAAU